rnacentral:rRNA from 1 species
GCGAGUGAGCGGCAACAGCUCAAAUUUGAAAUCUGGCCCUUGGGUCCGAGUUGUAAUUUGUAGAGGAUGCUUUUGGCGAGGUGCCUUCCGAGUUCCCUGGAACGGGACGCCAUAGAGGGUGAGAGCCCCGUCUGGUCGGACACCGAGCCUCUGUAAAGCUCCUUCGACGAGUCGAGUAGUUUGGGAAUGCUGCUCAAAAUGGGAGGUAUAUGUCUUCUAAAGCUAAAUAUUGGCCAGAGACCGAUAGCGCACAAGUAGAGUGAUCGAAAGAUGAAAAGCACUUUGAAAAGAGGGUUAAAAAGUACGUGAAAUUGUUGAAAGGGAAGCGCCUAUGACCAGACUUGGGCCCGGUGAAUCAUCCAGCGUUCUCGCUGGUGCACUUUGCCGGGCACAGGCCAGCAUCAGUUUGGCGCGGGGGAAAAAGGCUUUGGGAAUGUGGCUCCCUCGGGAGUGUUAUAGCCCAUUGUGUAAUACCCUGCGCCGGACUGAGGUACGCGCAUUGCAAGGAUGCUGGCGUAAUGGUCAUCAGCGACCCGUCUUGAAACACGGACCAAGGAGUCGUCUUCGUAUGCGAGUGUUCGGGUGUCAAACCCCUACGCGUAAUGAAAGUGAACGCAGGUGAGAGCUUCGGCGCAUCAUCGACCGAUCCUGAUGUUCUCGGAUGGAUUUGAGUAAGAGCAUACGGGGCCGGACCCGAAAGAAGGUGAACUAUGCCUGUAUAG